rnacentral:rRNA from 1 species
GCCACCAGCCAGAGCACGUUGAAUGCACCAGUUUUUAAUGGAUCACUAAAGUUGAGCAACGUUGCACAGGGUUAGUAUCCGAAUGGGUGACAAUCUGGACAAUCUGAGUUUUCGGCC